rnacentral:miRNA from 12 species
GCCUGGCGCAGCGAAGGUCACGCGUGGCUCCGCAGCGGGGAGAGGGCGGAGCGGAGCGGAGCGGGGAUGCUCGGCCCGGCCGCAGCCCCUUCUCGGGCCAGCAGCUCCCGGGUAGAGCGACGCCGGCGGCC